GGUUCUAUAUGGAAAAGGGCUGCAUCCUCAGGAGGUGAAAUGAAAGCAGAGAUCAAAAACUCAGAGAUAGCAGGAGACUCCUAGAAGCAGAGGUUUUGAGAAACUUAAACCUCCAUGCCACCCACCUUCCUCUUGACAAGAAACAGGACUUCCGUCCCCAGGUUUCCAAGAAUGAUUAAGAACAAGCUGCAUAAAAAUUAUGACACGUAAUUUUCUGGACUAUGGACUAAAAUGAACUGCUCCACCGAGACGGUGCUCUGUCUUUGGGAAGAUGCUGCAAUAAAUAAAAGUGUGGAAAUCAAGUGGCUGGCACCCUGCCAAGACGCCCUGUACAGUGAGUGCACAUGUGCUGGACACGACACAAUGACCUAAAAGAAACACAGAGAUACUGCUGGAAUAGUUCAGUGAAUAUAGUUCAGUGAAUACCACUGCUUCAGCGAGGAGUAAGUCAUGUAAUAAGGCAGGAUGGAAACAGAAUUAACCUUUAAAACUUGGAAAUGGAGUACCGGAGGUGAUCUCUGCCUUCCAGAUGGAAUAACGUCCCCCGUGUCCUUCUGUCCUCUCAGUUCUGAACUCUGAUAUUUGGCUAUCAGUGUUCGGCACUUGGUACUGCUUAUUGAGAUGAAACCAGAUAAAACAAACC
rnacentral:lncRNA from 1 species